ACGUAGGCAGCAAGCGUUGUUCGGAGUUACUGGGCGUAAAGGGUGUGUAGGCGGUUCUCUAAGUCUGGUGUGAAAUCUCCCGGCUCAACUGGGAGGGUGCGCCGGAAACUGGAGGGCUAGAGUGUGGGAUGGGAGAGUGGAAUUCCUGGUGUAGCGGUGAAAUGCGUAGAUAUCAGGAGGAAUACCGAUGGCGAAGGCAGGUCUCUGGGCUGACACUGACGCUCAUGCACGAAAGCGUGGGGAGCAAACAGGA
rnacentral:rRNA from 1 species